rnacentral:rRNA from 1 species
GACGAACGCUGGCGGCGUGCCUAAUACAUGCAAGUAGAACGCUGAAGGAGGAGCUUGCUCUUCUGGAUGAGUUGCGAACGGGUGAGUAACGCGUAGGUAACCUGCCUGGUAGCGGGGGAGAACUAUUGGAAACGAUAGCUAAUACCGCAUAAGAGAAGAUGUUGCAUGACAUUCACUUAAAAGUUGCAAUUGCAUCACUACCAGAUGGACCUGCGUUGUAUUAGCUAGUUGGUGGGGUAACGGCUUACCAAGGCGGCGGUACAUAGCCGACCUGAGAGGGUGAUCGGGCACAAUGGGACUGGGAAAAGGCCCAAGAUCCUACGGGGAGGAGCAAGAGGGAAUCUUCGGCAAAUGAGGGAAGUCUGGCCGAGGAACGCCGGGUGAGUGAAGGAAGUUUUCCGAUCGUUAAGCUCCGUUGUAAGGGAAGAACAAGUGUCAGAGUGGAAAGUUCACGCUGUGACGGUAUCUAACCAGAAAGCGACGGCUAACUACGUG